CUCUAUGGGCGGCGAUGGUGGGGAGCCUUCGGGCUGCCGGUUUGCUUUUGGGUGCCGGUCUUCCUACCCUGCUAUUUGCCGCCCUCCCGU
rnacentral:antisense_RNA from 1 species